rnacentral:rRNA from 1 species
CAGGUGGUGCAUGGUUGUCGUCAGCUCGUGUCGUGAGAUGUUGGGUUAAGUCCCGCAACGAGCGCAACCCUUAUUGUUAGUUGCUACGCAAGAGCACUCUAGCGAGACUGCCGUUGACAAAACGGAGGAAGGUGGGGACGACGUCAAAUCAUCAUGCCCCUUAUGUCCUGGGCCACACACGUACUACAAUGGUGGUCAACAGAGGGAAGCAAUACCGCGAGGUGGAGCAAAUCCCUAAAAGCCAUCCCAGUUCGGAUCGCAGGCUGCAACCCGCCUGCGUGAAGUUGGAAUCGCUAGUAAUCGCGGAUCAGCAUGCCGCGGUGAAUACGUUCCCGGGCCUUGUACACACCGCCCGUCACACCAUGAGAGUCGGGAACACCCGAAGUCCGUAGCCUAACCGCAAGGGGGGCGCGGCCGAAGGUGGGUUCGAUAAUUGGGGUGAAGUCGUAACAAGGUAGCCGUAUCGGGAGGUGCGGCUGGAUCACCUC